rnacentral:rRNA from 1 species
UACGAGGGGUGCAAGCGUUAUUCGGAUUGAUUGGGUGUAAAGGGUGUGCAGACGGCUUACUAAGUCACUUGUUAAAUUCCUCGGCCUAACUGAGGAUCUGCAGGUGAUACUGGAAAGCUAGAGGGUGGAAGAGAGAAGUGGAAUUCUCGGAGUAGCGGUAAAAUGCGUAGAUCUCGAGAGGAACACCAAUGGCGAAGGCAGCUUCUUGGUCCAUUCCUGACGUUCAUACACGAAAGCGUGGGGAGCAAACAGG